rnacentral:rRNA from 1 species
CCCGCUGAACUUAAGCAUAUUAUUAAGCGGAGGAAAAGAAACUAACAAGGAUGCCCUCAGUAACGGCGAGUGAAGCGGGCAGAGCUCAACCUGAAAAUCGGUUUUUCUUGAUCGAGAUACCGAGUUGUGGGCUACAGACAUGUGGUCAGUGCGUACACCAGAUAUAAAUCCUUUGAAACGAGGUAUCAAAGAGGGUGAGAAUCCCGUCUGCGAUCUGGUUGGAGUUUGACGCGCGUACGACCCGUGUUCCGAGAGUCGCGUUGUUUGGGAUUGCAGCGCUAACUGGGUGGUAAAUUUCAUCUAAAGCUAAAUAUCGACGAGAGACCGAUAGCGAACAAGUACCGUGAGGGAAAGAUGAAAAGAACUUUGAAAAGAGAGUUAAAAAGUACUUGAAAUUGCUAAGAGGGAAGCACUGAAAACCAGUAGUGAAAAGAAUGGCCGCACGUGUAUAUUUACCUCUUGCUGUAGGCAUCAGCGUAACCCGCGGAGUUUCGCGACCUGGCGGGGGCGUUGUGGUUGGCUUAUGGUGGGUGGGACCUGUACUGUGAUUGGCCGGUCCACAUGAAUUUCAUUCGCACUGAUAGACAGCUAUUGCAACGGUAGGACGCGGGGUAGCAAUAUCUCGGGUCUGUUUAGCGCAGUAGUACAUUAAUAUCAUGGAUGAGAUUGAGGAAAAGAAAGGCGCACCACACGGUUUGCGAAGAGCGUUGCUGCCUGGAUUGUGAGAAGACGUGGACAGCAAAGCUGUGCUGUUUUCGAAACUUUCCACUGCAGCGUGCAUCUUCAGCAGCAGCCUUAGAGAUGUGAGGACUAAAUGGUUUUCAUUGACCCGUCUUGAAACACGG